UACGUAGGCAGCAAGCGUUGUUCGGAGUUACUGGGCGUAAAGGGUGCGUAGGCGGCUUUUUAAGUUUGGUGUGAAAUCUCCCGGCUCAACUGGGAGGGUGCGCCCGAAUACUGAGAGGCUAGAGUGUGGGAGAGGAAAGUUGGAAUUCCUGGUGUAGCGGUGAAAUGCGUAGAUAAUCAGGAGGAACACCUGUGGCGAAAGCGGCUCACUGGACCAUUACUGACGCUGAGGCUCGAAAGCUAGGGGAGCAAACAGG
rnacentral:rRNA from 1 species